GACGAACGCGGCGGCGUGCCUAAUACAUGCAAGUAGAACGCUGAAGGAGGAGCUUGCUUCUCUGGAUGAGUUGCGAACGGGUGAGUAACGCGUAGGUAACCUGCCUGGUAGCGGGGGAUAACUAUUGGAAACGAUAGCUAAUACCGCAUAAGAGUAGAUGUUGCAUGACAUUUGCUUAAAAGGUGCAAUUGCAUCACUACCAGAUGGACCUGCGUUGUAUUAGCUAGUUGGUGGGGUAACGGCUCACCAAGGCGACGAUACAUAGCCGACCUGAGAGGGUGAUCGGCCACACUGGGACUGAGACACGGCCCAGACUCCUACGGGAGGCAGCAGUAGGGAAUCUUCGGCAAUGGACGGAAGUCUGACCGAGCAACGCCGCGUGAGUGAAGAAGGUUUUCGGAUCGUAAAGCUCUGUUGUAAGAGAAGAACGAGUGUGAGAGUGGAAAGUUCCACACUGUGACGGUAUCUACC
rnacentral:rRNA from 1 species